AUUGUAAAUUUAUAGUUAUAACCGUGUAUUCACAGUUAUAAUUGUGAAUCAUAUAAACAAAAUAAAAUUAAAAUAUAUGACUCUUCUCCAAAAUGAACUUUUGAAAAAGUAAUAUGUUGCAACAUCUCUUUCAACGUUAACUCGCUAAACAAACUUUACCGCUCCAAAUAGCGAACAGUUGGCAACACCUUUUUUCUUAAAUCUUGAAAUAGUUCAAAUGUAAAUUCAAAUCGAGUAUUUAUAUUAGUGACAAAAUUUCAUGUUUUUGAAGGUGUGUAUGUGUAUUGAUAUGGCAUGCUGCAUAGCAACGGGAAUUGAACCAUUAUAAACAUUCUCGAUAUAAAAGAAUACUCAAAAUGGAACCAACCCUUUCUUUAGAUUUUAAAACGCAUCAAUUUGAGUCACCUGGAGAUGAGAAUCCCAAUUCUAAAAUAUCUGAAAUGACUCGAUUGUCAACACCCAAGCCCAUUAUGCAUUUGGGAUCUUCUACAGAGUUUCGUAGACAAAGUUCCGCUGUGCCAAAAACACCCUUUAAACCUGGCACAGGAUAUAGAUCUGGAACAGGUUUCAAACCGACUACUAAUUUUGCCAAACCAGGAACUGGAUUUAAGCCGGGGACUGGAUUUCGGCCAGGCACAGGAAUGGACAUUGUAAGCAGACCUAUGACUGCAGUAAGAGGUGCUGGGUAUACAUCUCAUGGAAAACCUUUCGAUCCGCUGAACCAAGCUGCUUCAGUCCCAACUCCUCCACUAGAGUUACAAAAAGAUGAUUCGUUAGUACCUUGAACCGUAUCUGCACCAAAACACUCAGCCUUUUUUGCACUUUCUCUGUAUAGGAGACCCGAGGAAAGGAUCAGACAGCAAGAACUCAAAAUAAUGCAGUUGGUAGAGGAAUCGUGUAUUGCACAAUGUGAAGGUGAUUUCAGGAAAGCUCUUACCAAAGCUAAGGAAGCAUCUAAUAAAGAAAGAAGUCUCAUUCGACUACAGGAGCAAUCUGGAUUAGGAGAGCAUCAUAACAUAGAUCUAACAUAUGCUGUAAGACAACUUAUUUAUUUUCAGGAAAAAAUGUAUUAUUAUUUCAAUCUAAACAAAUUACAAUUUAUUACUUGCUAGAAUUUUUGCU